GAUGAACGCUAGCUACAGGCUUAACACAUGCAAGUCGAGGGACCGGCGCACGGGUGAGUAACACGUAUCCAACCUGCCCUUUACUCGGGGAUAGCCUUUCGAAAGAAAGAUUAAUACCAGAUAUAAAGGAUGGGGAUGUGUUCAGUUAGGUUGUUGGUGAGGGAACGGCUAACCAAGCCAUCGAUGGAUAGGGGUUAUGAGAGGAAGGUCCCCACCAUGUGAACUGAGACCCGGGCCAAAAUCCUAGGGAAGGCAGAAGGGAGGAACACUGGUCAAUGGGCGCUAGCCCGAACCAGCCAAGUAGCUGGAAGGAGGAAGGGGUAUGGGUCUUAAACUUCUUGUAUAUAAGAAUAUGUAUUAUAUGAAUAAGGAUCGGCUAACUCCGUGCCAGCAGCCGCGGUAAUAC
rnacentral:rRNA from 1 species